rnacentral:rRNA from 1 species
GGANANUUAGAAAUGACUGCUAAUACCGCAUAGGACCACGGGGAGGCAUCUCUCUGAGGUGAAAGAUUUAUCGGAUAUGGAUGAGCUCGCGUCCCAUUAGGUAGUUGGUGAGGUAACGGCCCACCAAGCCGACGAUGGGUAGCCGGCCUUAGAGGGUGAUCGGCCACAUUGGAACUGAGACACGGUCCAAACUCCUACGGAAGGCAGCAG